AUUGAACGCUGGCGGCAGGCCUAACACAUGCAAGUCGAGCGAGCGGCGGACGGGUGAGUAAUGUAUGGGGACUGCCCGAUAGAGGGGGAUAACUAAUGGAAACGGUGGCUAAUACCGCAUACUAUCGGAUAACCCAUAUGGGAUUAGCUAGUAGGGGGGGGAAAGGCUCACCUAGGCGACGAUCUCUAGCGGGUCUGAGAGGUGGAUCAGCCACACUGCGACUGGGACACGGCCCAGGCGCUUACGGAGGCAGCGGUGGGGAAUAUUGCACAAUGGGGGCAAGCCUGAUGCAGCCAUGCCGCGUGUAUGAAGAAGGCCUUAGGGUUGUAAAGUACUUUCAGCGGGGAGGCGUUACCCGCAGAAGAAGCACCGGCUAACUCCGUGCCAGCAGCCGCGGUAAUAC
rnacentral:rRNA from 1 species